rnacentral:rRNA from 1 species
UGGCGACCGGCGCACGGGUGAGUAACGCGUAUGCAACCUGCCCGAUACCGGGGUAUAGCCCAUGGAAGCGUGGAUUAACACCCCAUAGUACUUUUAUCCUGCCUGGGAUGGGAGUUAAAUGUUCAAGGUAUCGGAUGGGCAUGCGUCCUAUUAGUUAGUUGGCGGGGUAACAGCCCACCAAGACGAUGAUAGGUAGGGGUUCUGAGAGGAAGGUCCCCCACAUUGGAACUGAGACACGGUCCAA